rnacentral:misc_RNA from 1 species
AUUGUUGCAAAUCCAUCCAGGGUACGUGUGGUUGUACUUUCCUAAGAAUAUUAAUGAAUUGACAGAGUGAAUUGGUAGUUGUCUUUUAAGCAAGUGUGUAUCAAUUUAUUGUUAUUUUGUCAUGAUGAAUUUUCAAAAUAGAUUAUAUUUGUAGAUUUCUGCUUCACUUUGUUGCUCUUCUGCCUAAGUAAUUUAGUAUACAAGUCUGAAAUUUUUUUCCCAUGAGGAUCAAAUGCACUGGAGAACUACCUGCCCCCUUACUUUUAAUUUUAUAGAUGAUAGCUAUUGGUGGUGGUAUUCUUUUCCUGUUCAUUUAAGUGUUUUAAGUAUUCAUAUGUGAGCUGCAACACUUUUAUAUAUAUAUAUUAUCAUUUUAAUUGACAGAUUAAUAUAAUGGAAAGCAAGAAAGUCUUACAAAGAAGAAGGGGCCAAGUAGGCGUGCACAUGGUUGCUGUUGCUUGUUAUGAGAGAGGUGAUUAGAGUAGGGGUUGUAUGGUGUAUCAUGAGUCAAGACUUACUAGCUUGAACAGUGGAAACAAGGAUACCAACCUUUUCCAUUGAGAAAUAGAAAAUUUAUUUAUUUAUCAUCAUUAUUAUUAUUAAUGCAAAUUAUUCUCAGCCGUUUGCGUUCUUUUAUUAUUUUUUGUUAUUCGCAUAUAUUCUGUUAAGCAGUUAUGUUU